UAUCUGUUAUCAGUUUAAUAUCUGAUACAUCCUCUAUCCGAAGACAGUAUGUUUAAUGGACUUCUGGAAUUAGGAGAUGAAACAAGAGCUUGCUAUGUCCACUCCAUGUAUCGACCUGGGAA
rnacentral:snRNA from 1 species